GAGGAGGAAGGAGAGGAGGAGGACUUGUGUGCUAGAAGAAAGUAGGGAGAGGAAGGACUUUUGUGCGUGGAAGAUUUGGGCGCGUGAAGAUAAGGACUUGCACGUGCGCGCCCCUGUGUUUUGUCUCGAUUGAUGUUUCCAACCGGGACAAAAACCUCCCUUUUGUCCCAAUUGGAAAUACCAACCGGGACUAAAUCUUUUCUCCCGGUUGGAAUUACCAAUUGGGAAAAAAGGGAGGGAGCGUUGCUCC
rnacentral:lncRNA from 1 species